UACGAAGGGGGCUAGCGUUGCUCGGAUUGACUGGGCGUAAAGAGCUCGUAGGCGGUUUGUCGCGUCUGCUGUGAAAUCCCGAGGCUCAACCUCGGGCUUGCAGUGGGUACGGGCAGACUAGAGUGCGGUAGGGGAGACUGGAAUUCCUGGUGUAGCGGUGGAAUGCGCAGAUAUCAGGAGGAACACCGAUGGCGAAGGCAGGUCUCUGGGCCGCAACUGACGCUGAGGAGCGAAAGCAUGGGGAGCGAACAGG
rnacentral:rRNA from 1 species